rnacentral:rRNA from 1 species
UACGUAGGGGGCUAGCGUUGUCCGGAAUCAUUGGGCGUAAAGAGCGUGUAGGCGGCCAAGCAGGUCCGUUGUGAAAACUGGAGGCUUAACCUCCAGACGUCGACGGAAACCGCGUGGCUAGAGUCCGGAAGAGGAGAGUGGAAUUCCUGGUGUAGCGGUGAAAUGCGCAGAUAUCAGGAAGAACACCCGUGGCGAAGGCGGCUCUCUGGGACGGUACUGACGCUGAGACGCGAAAGCGUGGGGAGCGAACAGG